rnacentral:rRNA from 1 species
AUUGAACGCUGGCGGCAGGCUUAACACAUGCAAGUCGAGCGGGGGAGGUUGCUUCGGUAACUGACCUAGCGGCGGACGGGUGAGUAAUACUUAGGAAUCUGCCUAUUAAUGGGGGACAACAUCUCGAAAGGGAUGCUAAUACCGCAUACGCCCUACGGGGGAAAGCAGGGGAUCACUUGUGACCUUGCGUUAAUAGAUGAGCCUAAGUCGGAUUAGCUAGUUGGUGGGGUAAAGGCCUACCAAGGCGACGAUCUGUAGCGGGUCUGAGAGGAUGAUCCGCCACACUGGGACUGAGACACGGCCCAGACUCCUACGGGAGGCAGCAGUGGGGAAUAUUGGACAAUGGGGGGAACCCUGAUCCAGCCAUGCCGCGUGUGUGAAGAAGGCCUUAUGGUUGUAAAGCACUUUAAGCGAGGAGGAGGCUCUUUUGGUUAAUACCCAAGAUGAGUGGACGUUACACGCAGAAUAAGCACCGGCUAACUCUGUGCCAGCAGCCGCGGUAAUAC